rnacentral:rRNA from 1 species
CCUACGGGUGGCAGCAGUGGGGAAUAUUGGGCAAUGGGCGCAAGCCUGACCCAGCAACGCCGCGUGACGGAAGAAGGCUUUAGGGGUGUAAACUUCUUUUAAGAGGGGAGAGCAGAAGACGGUACCUCUUGAAUAAGCCACGGCUAACUACGUGCCAGCAGCCGCGGUAAUACGUAGGUGGCAAGCGUUGUCCGGAUUGACUGGGUGUAAAGGGCGUGUAGCCGGGCUGACAAGUCAGAUGUGAAAUUCCGGGGCUCAACCCCGGACCUGCAUUUGAAACUGUUGGUCUUGAGUAUCGGAGAGGCAGGCGGAAUUCCGAGUGUAGCGGUGAAAUGCGUAGAUAUUAGGAGGAACACCAGUGGCGAAGGCGGCCUGCUGGACGACAACUGACGGUGAGGCGCGAAAGCGUGGGUAGCAAACAGGAUUAGAUACCCUUGUAGUC